UUAUUCAGAAAAUUCUUUUUCUCAAAAUUUAAUUUUAUAUUAUUCUUUUGUUACUUUGAUAUAUCUUUGACUUUUCUAUUUGUAUUUAUGAAAUCGUCCAAAUGAUAAUUUAUGUGUGUGUGUGAUUUGAAGGUUGAGGAGAUUUUUAUCUCUGCUAUGAAAAGGGGUCUUGGUGCUCUAAACAUUUAUCUUGCAUCACACACUUAUCUUGUAACACCCGUUUCUCAGGUACUUUUCAUUUAUGGCUAAAAGUAAAAUUCUUGAAAAAUUGGUCCUACACGGUGUGUAGGUUACUUCAUGUUAAUUAAUUUAUGAUUCCUCUUUUCCUAAUUAAAUAAAAUUUAGAGAUCAGAUUUAAUAAACUAAUUCAACAUAAAUUAGACUUAAACUGUCUAAUAGGUUUUUUGUGUGAGUUUUCAUCUUUUGCUGUGAACAGUCACUUAGAAAGCAAUAUGCUUGAAUUGGAAACCAACACAAAGGAGGAAGAUGAUCCAGUUGCUUUGUUGGAAAGUGGCCUCACAAAAUCCUUAUCUCGAUGAAACGACCUGUUACAACCAUCAAUGCUUACGUAAUCAGAUCCAAAGGAAGAUGAGGGAGAUAAUGAUAAAGCAGGCGUAGUCUUGUGAUUUGAAAGAGUUGGUUCAGAAGUUCAUUCUAGAAUCAAUUGGAAGAGAGAUUGAGAAGACAACAUCCAUCAUCUAUCCUCUGCAGAAUGUUUUCAUUCGCAAGGUUAAGAUCUUGAAGGCGCCAAAGUUUGACCUCAACAGAUUGAUGGAUGUGCAUGGUGAUUAUUCUGAAGAUUCAGAUUCCAGGACAUAUGCCGCGGACACAAGGAAUGCAGUGAAAAUGUGGAAUGAAGAGUUUCUUGGUGAUUUAAAAUUUCCACUUGGUAUUGGUUCAAUCUCCAAAAUGAUAAGAUGUUUCGAUUAACGGGACGACAGACUAUUGUAACUUUUUUUUUUUUGCCUUUUUUCUUCCUCUGCUAGUGUGGAAUUUUCACUUACUUACCUGUAGGAUUUUCCUCAUCAAAAGCCAAGCACAUCUCUAAAAGAUGGUGGAUCGGAAGUUCCACUUUUUUAUCAGCAAGUUUGAAGCUACCGGCUUAAAAAAUAUGUAGAAAUCAUAUUUCAUGAAAGUAGAACCACAUUUUAUACAUAUUUUGUAAAGAUUAUUGUACAUUUUUCACCAUAGUUAUUAGCCUUUACAACUAAUUGUCUCCGUUUAAUGAGAAAAUGGUAACAAAUUUGUUUAGACUUUUGAAUGUCAGAUUUGUUAUAAUUUGAUCCUCCAACAUUA